rnacentral:rRNA from 1 species
AUUGAACGCUGGCGGCAUGCUUUACACAUGCAAGUCGAACGGUAACAGGCCGCAAGGUGCUGACGAGUGGCGAACGGGCGAGUAAUGCAUCGGAACGUGCCCAGCCGUGGGGGAUAACUUCUCGUCAGAGUACCUAAUACCGCACCCGAUCUAUGGAUCAACGCGGGGGACCGUAAGGCCUCGCGCGAUCGGAGCGGCCUAUGUCAGAGUAGUUAGUUGGUGGGGUAAAGGCUCACCCAGCCAACGAGCUGUAGCUGGUCUGAGAGGACGACCAGUCACACUGGGACUGAGACGCGGACCAGACUCCUGCGGGAGGCAGCAGUCGGGAAUUUUAGGCAAUGGGCGCGAGCCUGAUCCAGCGAUGCCGAGUGCAAGAAGAAAGCCUUCGGGUUGUGAACUGCUUUUGUACGGAGCAAAACGGCUCUGGUUAUGACGAGGCGCUAAUGACGGUACCGUGAGAAUAAGCACCGGCUAACUACGUG